rnacentral:rRNA from 1 species
UACAGGGGGGGCAAGCGUUGUUCGGAAUUACUGGGCGUAAAGGGCUCGUAGGCGGCCAACUAAGUCCGACGUGAAAUCCCAAAGCUUAACUUUGGAACUGCGUCGGAUACUGGAUGGCUUGAAUUCGGGAGAGGGAUGCAGAAUUCCAGGUGUAGCGGUGAAAUGCGUAGAUAUCUGGAGGAAUACCGGUGGCGAAGGCGGCAUCCUGGACCAUUACUGACGCUGAUGAGCGAAAGCCAGGGGAGCAAACGGG